rnacentral:rRNA from 1 species
CCGUAAACGAUGUCGACUUGGAGGUUGUGCCCUUGAGGCGUGGCUUCCGGAGCUAACGCGUUAAGUCGACCACCUGGGGAGUACGGCCGCAAGGUUAAAACUCAAAUGAAUUGAAGGGGGCCCGCACAAGCGGUGGAGCAUGUGGUUUAAUUCGAUGCAACGCGAAGAACCUUACCUGGUCUUGACAUCCACAGAACUUUCCAGAGAUGGAUUGGUGCCUUCGGGAACUGUGAGACAGGUGCUGCAUGGCUGUCGUCAGCUCGUGUUGUGAAAUGUUGGGUUAAGUCCCGCAACGAGCGCAACCCUUAUCCUUUGUUGCCAGCGGUCCGGCCGGGAACUCAAAGGAGACUGCCAGUGAUAAACUGGAGGAAGGUGGGGAUGACGUCAAGUCAUCAUGGCCCUUACGACCAGGGCUACACACGUGCUACAAUGGCGCAUACAAAGAGAAGCGACCUCGCGAGAGCAAGCGGACCUCAUAAAGUGCGUCGUAGUCCGGAUUGGAGUCUGCAACUCGACUCCAUGAAGUCGGAAUCGCUAGUAAUCGUGGAUCAGAAUGCCAC